rnacentral:lncRNA from 1 species
AUUUAUCAGAUUCAAAACUAGAAGUGCAUGAUAUCAUUCCGGAGAAAAAUGUCAGAUUUUCUCUUUUUCGUUUGUUAUGACAAACCGUUAUUGUUGAUUAAAAUUGAAUUAAUUACUGGUCACUCCAUUAACUUUCAUGCGCUCGACAGUUUACUCCAUUAACUUUCAAUUUCAAUCGAUUACUCCAUUAACUAUCCAAUGUCACACAAUUAGGUCCAUCCGUUAAGUCGCCGUCCAAAUCAGUGGUUAAGUUGCUGACUGGGCAUAUUUUUCAACUGGAAAUUCCAUUUAACACCCCACUUCUCUCUCUCUCUCUCUCUCU